UACGAAGGGGGCUAGCGUUGUUCGGAAUUACUGGGCGUAAAGCGUGCGCAGGCGGCUAUCCAAGUCAGUGGUGAAAGCCCGGAGCUCAACUCCGGAAUUGCCAUUGAAACUGUUAGCUUGAGGACGAGAGAGGUGAGUGGAAUUCCCAGUGUAGAGGUGAAAUUCGUAGAUAUUGGGAAGAACACCGGUGGCGAAGGCGGCUCACUGGCUCGUUUCUGACGCUCAGGCACGACAGCGUGGGGAUCAAACAGG
rnacentral:rRNA from 1 species